AACGAACGCUGGCGGCAUGCCUAACACAUGCAAGUCGAACGAGAUCUUCGGGUCUAGUGGCGCACGGGUGCGUAACGCGUGGGAAUCUGCCCUUUGGUUCGGAAUAACAGUUGGAAACGACUGCUAAUACCGGAUGAUGACGAAAGUCCAAAGAUUUAUCGCCAGAGGAUGAGCCCGCGUAGGAUUAGCUAGGUGGUGUGGUAAAGGCGCACCAAGGCGACGAUCCUUAGCUGGUCUGAGAGGAUGAUCAGCCACACUGGGACUGAGACACGGCCCAGACUCCUACGGGAGGCAGCAGUGGGGAAUAUUGGACAAUGGGCGAAAGCCUGAUCCAGCAAUGCCGCGUGAGUGAUGAAGGCCUUAGGGUCGUAAAGCUCUUUUACCCGGGAUGAUAAUGACAGUACCGGGAGAAUAAGCUCCGGCUAACUCCGUGCCAGCCGCCGCAGUAA
rnacentral:rRNA from 1 species